rnacentral:rRNA from 1 species
CACGUAGGGCGCGAGCGUUGUCCGGAUUUAUUGGGCGUAAAGAGCUCGUAGGCGGCUUGUCGCGUCGACUGUGAAAACUCGGGGCUCAACUCCGAGCUUGCAGUCGAUACGGGCAGGCUAGAGUUCGGUAGGGGAGACUGGAAUUCCUGGUGUAGCGGUGAAAUGCGCAGAUAUCAGGAGGAACACCGGUGGCGAAGGCGGGUCUCUGGGCCGAUACUGACGCUGAGACGCGAAAGCGUGGGGAGCAAACAGG